rnacentral:rRNA from 1 species
GCUUACGGCCAUACCAGCCUGGGUACGCCCGAUCUCGUCUGAUCUCGGAAGCGAAGCAGGGUCGGGCCUGGUUAGUACUUGGAUGGGAGACCCCCUGGGAAUACCAGGUGCUGUAAGCA